AUGUCAUGGUGAGGGCAUUUGCGCAACAACUCCUUAAAUCGCUUCCAUGCCUCAUAUAAAUAUUCUUCAUCAAGUUUCUGAAAUGAAGUAAUCUCAUUGUCUAGCUU